AUCCUCUCAGGGUCACACCUGAAGAGUUUCUAGUACUCUACCAGUCUUGGCUAUGGGAGGGAGAGUCAAGCAGAAGCCUACCCAUUCCAUUCCUAGCUUGGCCAGUGGCUAGUGAGUGGAGGCAAUCUGCCACAAGU